rnacentral:lncRNA from 1 species
CUGAAACACAAGGUGACGAGAACUAUUAGGCAAUUGAGUGCAUUCCCUGCAGGGCUGCUCCCACUUCUAUCUGACUUGGGUCUAGAUGACUCAAGUGAUUCCCGAGGGGAAAAUAAUCUAUGUGGAACAGCUGUCAUGAGCAGGCCUUCUGCUGCUCUUCAGCCUCAAUUUCAGCCUGCUACUUCCCGUGACAUCAUUCAGUGAUUCCUCCCUUUAAGGGGACAGUUUUCUCUUGUAUUACAGGUGACUACUUGAAGGUGGCUAGACGAGAGCAUACUGCCACCACUCUUUAUUUGGAGGCCUGUAACCUGUCUUGAGUGUGUUGCAGGAAGACUCAGUUACAGUGUUCCCUGAAUAUGUAGCUUUCCAUUACAAUAGUAUGCAAGCCAAGAUGAAACCACCUCUGUUUGGGUUUCAGCAGCUGUCUGCCUACGGAAGGCUCCAGAGUCCCUGACGCAUAUUUAUAUCUCCACUUCACUGAAGUCACAAGGAACAAACACACACCUGCCAUUUCCCAAAUCUCAUAAAACAUAUAAAUGGAUGAGACCAAAGAGAGGCA